GAUGAACGCUGGCGGCGUGCCUAAUACAUGCAAGUCGAGCGAACGGACUAGAAGCUUGCUUCUCUGAUGUUAGCGGCGGACGGGUGAGUAACACGUGGAUAACCUACCUAUAAGACUGGGAUAACUUCGGGAAACCUGAGCUAAUACCGGAUAAUAUUUUGAACCGCAUGGUUCAAAAGUGAAAGACGGUCUUGCUGUCACUUAUAGAUGGAUCCGCGCUGCAUUAGCUAGUUGGUAAGGUAACGGCUUACCAAGGCAACGAUGCAUAGCCGACCUGAGAGGGUGAUCGGCCACACGGGAACUGAGACACGGUCCAGACUCCUACGGGAGGCAGCAGUAGGGAAUCCUCCGCAAUGGACGAAAGCCGGACGGAGCAACGCCGCGUGAGUGAUGAAGGACUUCGGAUCGUAAAACUAUGUUAUUAGGGAAGAACAUAUGUGUAAGUAACUGUGAACAUAUUGACGGUACCUAAUCAGAAAGCCACGGCUAACUACGUG
rnacentral:rRNA from 1 species